CCCGCCCCCCUCGGCACCAGAGAAAGUUCAUGCUUGCGCCCUGGCCUUCUUUGGCACAGGAGGGAGUUCAUGCACGCGCCUCGCCACCCCUCGGGAUGGGAGGGGGUCACCCAUGGGCUACGCCACCCCUCAGCGAGGGAGUAAUGCCACUAUUAAACCUGACAUUUCAUGAAUGGCUCUUUCCACUUUCACAGCUGAAGAAGCAGGCAUCUCUUAAGGUUUGCGUCUUCCUUCUACCUCUGUACUCCAAGUUCCUGGUUGGCACUGGAAUUACAUCCUUAGCAUGCACAUCAUAACCUCCAGGUGAGAAAAUAAAAAGACCCUGGAAGACAAGUGUCAUGCAUUGAGGUCUGUGAAAGCCACAAAGGAAGCAAAAGUCAAACAGCUGAAGGAAAAAGCACAUAACCUGGAAGAAUUCUAUGAACAAAGAAAAGUGGCUACAGAAAAGAAGCUGAAAAUGACACUGUGAACUGGUGGCAAAGAAGAAUCAGCUGGCAGCUGCAGGUAAAAUUUGAAAAUAGCUACAGAAGGGGUGCCUGGGUGGCUCAGUCGUUUAAGUGUCCAACUUUAGCUCAGGUCAUAAUUUCACAGUCCGUGAGUUCGAGCCCUGUGUCAGGCUCUGUGCUGAUAGCUCAGAGCCUGGAGCCUGCUUUUGAUUCUGUUACCUCUCUCUCUGUCCCUCCCCCGCUCAUGGACGCGCUCACUCUCUCUCUCUGUCUCAAAAAUAAACAAACAUUAAAAAAAAGAAAAUAGCUACAGAAGAAAUAAACAAGUACAAGUGAGUUCAGCUACUGAUUACCAGCAGCUCAUGAAACAUCUGUUCAUUUUUUUGUUUUUAACCUUUUUACAGUGUUUAGACUCAACAUAGUAAUAUAAGCAAAAAUUCAGAGGACAUAUGCAUAGAGUAUUAACAGAUAAAAAAAAAGGUAAGUUUUAGAACAAAACAAUUAAGUUUCUAAACAUUUGUGGAUCUCAAGCAAUGGCCAGACUGUGUGGAAACUUCGUCCAUGCCAACAUUCCUUGGGGGUGGUGUCAGUUGUCAUAAUCUAUAGGAGAGCAGUGUGUCAUAUGAUGAAUCAUACCCAUCAACAUGGUAGUGCCAUUUCAUGGCCCUUGUCUUUGCAACCCUGGGAAACAUGGUGAGGAUAUAAGUUAAAGGAGAAUAGAGCUUUAUGAUGAAAGACACUUGUCACAUGAUGAAUUAGGCCAAGAUUGAAAAUGGGAAGGAAUUCUAUGAACUCUGAACCCUACAAGCAUGGAAUAAUAAGGAAAGGAUGUAACAAUAGCUUUGAUCCUACUGUACAUUUAUAAUCAUGUAAGAGUAAAUUGUAUCGGGGACAGAUACGAGGUUGAUGGGAACGUGGGCAGAUUAUUUAAAAUCAUACCCAAUAUUGGGCCUUAUCUGACAAAAGCAAUUGUGACUCAGAGGCAACAAAUUGAACAAACACAAGAACAGCUGCAGCAGGCAGAGCUCACCUUCAGACACUAGAUUGCAGUUCAUGAGAAGAAUGCUCAGCACAACUGGAUCAAGACUCAGAUCUGGGACAGGGAGGUGGCAGAGCAGAGCAGGGAGGUCGCCUACUUAAAAUACAGACUGGAUGUUAUGGAAGGAAAGAGGCUGCCUGAGGGAUACAUGAGGCAGAAACCAAUGCCUGGAAGACCAGAGAUGCAGAACCCUCCAAGGAGAGGGUCUUUAGUAGAUCCAGAAACUCUGAAACCUCUGUGAGUUACAGCAGCUCUGUACCAAGAAUGCAGACAAGGACAAGGAAAUAACGAGAGGAGGAUGACCCCACACUCCAAACAGAAGUCUCCUGGCCUGGGUGACCCCUUCCAACCUCACCUCUGUGGGAACAGUGUGGCUGCUGUGUCUUCCUUUCUUGAUUCUGGCUAGGAGAUUAACCUGUUAGAAAGUCUGCCAUAUUGUUUAAAAUUCAAAAGUGCAAAAAGACAUCAUGACUCCAACUUUAUAUGUUGUGCCCUGUGCUAUUUAGAGUGGUCUUUGAUAAAGUCAAUGUCACCAGUCAUCACCUUCCCGUCUUUGUUGGUAAAUGAGUUGUCUGGAAUCCUUCCAGCUAUACCUGAGGUAUAAAUAGUUUGAAUACCGUGUCCUUCAGUUAUGUUUACAUGAGCAGUUUCUGGUUGUGUCCCCAGUCACUGUUAGAGCUGAUACAGUCUCAUGACACAUACCAGGAGUUUUAUACCAAAACACUUGCAUUAAAUCUGUUAUGUGAAUUUCUACCUCUUUUUUCUGUUGGACAUAAUUACUGUGUCCUGUAAUAUGCUUAAAGUCGGAAUUCCCUAUGAAUUAAGAUGAACACAUCUGAGCUUUGUAGACAUUUACAAGUAACUUGUUCUUCACAGAAGACUAUCAUUCCCCUGCAAGAUUCCAGGCAUCCUCCACUCUCCAGAGGUCUCAGAGGCCUUUGACAACACUUCAAGAGGGAAGACUCCUUUGUAAGGGAGAAGAGCAGAGGAGGCAAAGUGAGGGUCCGGCUGCAGAACUUUUCGCCAGGAGUGGCUGUGAUUCAAUGAGCAGAAUAUGAGCUGUUUAUUCCCAUUUUUUUGUGUUCUUAAUAUACCAAAAACAGAGCAUGUGGAGUUGUUGUAGAGGAGAAUGCAGGGUGAACCUGGACAUCGAUGUCUGCCUGUCUGGGGAAUGCUACUUCAUUAGUCUGUAAUUACUUCUGUUAACCCUGUAGGACAGGACCCUUGUCAUUUUACUUCUGCAGACAUGGGCAGUGAUGUGUGAGGACAGUAGUUUCACCUCUGGCAUCUACUACCCCAAGCUGUAGGUGUUAUCCAGUGGCAGGGACAGAGUUUUCAGGUACUGAUGCUACUCUCUUGGAUCCUGGUGGCAGAGAAGGUGGCAGGUGCUGACACGUUCUUCUCUGAGUUACAGCUGCUUUUGGUAUUGGUUCUCUUGUCUGGCAUACGAAUGUAGCUGUCACUUCUGUUCUGCAGGGCAGUCUGGAUUCUGGGGACCUCCUCCAUUAAUGGACGAUUCUACCUGCCCUACCCUAGAGGCACCCUGCCCCCAUGGACUAUUAGGCACAUCCACCUCCUGAAUCUUGGUGGCCCUGGGGCUACCCUGAACCCCUCCACCUGCAACUCUUGGUGUCUCUUGUGGAGAAGGAAUGGAGCUGUGUGCAGAAAAGCAGACAUAGCGCUUCUGCAGAAAUGCCCUGUACACAUUCCACAUGCUGGGAUCUGUGAGGCAUAAGGCACAGCCUAACGGCUCUUUGCAGAUCCAGAAGUAGGUGUCACUCCCAAGAGUAACAUCAACACUGGCUCUGCCAAAACUGCCAAGAAGCACAAGGCCAUUAUGUAUGCAAGAGGGCCUGGCCCUUUCCUAGGUUCGCCUUGCAGGCUGUACCCCAUGGAUCACCCUUCAUAACCAGUCAUGGGCUAUGGGCCACUUCCCCUCCUCCACCAGCUCCUCCACAUACUCAGUUUGGACUCGGAAAGUGGCUACCAGCUCAUUCUUCUACAAGGUCCUGAGACAAACGGGCAUUUCAUGCCUUCACGUCCUAACUGAAUGCAGCUCCGUUCUUCUGAAUUUCUGUCAGGAUUUCUCCGCGGAAACAAGCCUGA